AUACUUACCUGCCAGAGAAGAUACCAUGAUCAUGAAGGUGGUUUUGCCAGGGUGAGGCUUAUCCAUUGCACUCGGGAUGUGUUGAUCCCUGCGAUUUCCCUGAAUGUGGCACACUCGACUGCAUGGUUUAGUGGUAGUGGGGGACUGAGUUCGCGCUUUCUCCUG
ensembl:snRNA U1 U1 spliceosomal RNA